rnacentral:rRNA from 1 species
CACGUAGGGGGCAAGCGUUGUCCGGAAUCAUUGGGCGUAAAGAGCUCGUAGGCGGCUCAGUAAGUCGGGUGUGAAACCCCCAGGCUCAACCUGGGGACGCCACCCGAUACUGCUGUGGCUAGAGUCCAGUAAAAGAGUGUGGAAUUCCCGGUGUAGCGGUGAAAUGCGCAGAUAUCGGGAGGAACACCAGCGGCGAAGGCGGCACUCUGGGCUGGUACUGACGCUGAGGAGCGAAAGCGUGGGUAGCAAACAGG